rnacentral:rRNA from 1 species
UACGUAGGGGCUAGCGUUGUCCGGAAUCAUUGGGCGUAAAGCGCGCGUAGGCGGCCCGGUAAGUCCGCUCUGAAAGUCCAGGGCUCAACCCUGGAAAGCGGGUGGAUACUGCCGGGCUAGAAUCCGGAAGAGGCGAGUGGAAUUCCUGGUGUAGCGGUGGAAUGCGCAGAUAUCGGGAGGAACACCAGUAGCGAAGGCGGCUCGCUGGCCAUCCUGACGCUGAGACGCGAAGCUAGGGAGCG